UCUCGACCCAGCCUCAUAUAUGUGAAUAUUGUUGACAACUUGGAAGUGGACCGCCUAUGGACAGAGUAUCAGCCGCCACCUGUUCAGCUUCAGCUAUCGGCGGUCGCUUCGAUGUGCCACCUGGUCACAGCCAAUCACAUCAUCGGAUUCGACGGGACUCGACGGCAGCUGUCUGCUCCUGGAGUUCACCUGCUCUAUGGUGACUUGUCAGAAGCCCUUCAGGUGACGGUGCGCUCCGGGCCGUGUGACCUGACCUCGGGUCAGUUCUGCUCGUGCGCCCUGCUGGCACGGGACGC